CCCUAGCUGUGCCGUUCGAUCUCUUUUAUCCCCUUGGAGUUGGGAUUCGUUGGGAGCUUUGUCACGGAAAAUUGAAAUAACAUCCAUCAAAGAUGGAGAAGCCAAUGAGAAAGAGGAAGAGGACUUAUACUCGGUCGAAUGUUAUUGAGAUGUAUUGCAUCGACUUUAACCAUAAUUGUUUGGGAGGGAACAAUUUUGUGGCCAGGUUUCCCGUUCUCCACUGUUAAGUGUUAUUGCAAUGGGCUGCUGUUACUUUACCGGUCUCUCGAUAAACUUUUUCGUAUGGACAUAUUAAAUCCAUGACGAAGGAGUAUCGUAUCUUAGACUUCCGGUUGACCACGACUAUGUGUGAGAGAUUGAAGCCGAGCUCAGAGCGGCAAUAACAGCUUCCACGGUUAUACCGAACUCUUUGUAAAUUUUCCCUGCUGGAGCACUUGCUCCGAAGCGGUCAAUGCCGAUUGCUUUUCCUUUGCUUCCAACAAUCUUCUCCCACCCAAAUGUUGUUCCAGCCUCAAUACUCACUCUGGCAGAAACAGCAGCCGGCAGAACACUUUCCUUAUAUGCAUCUGAUUGCUCGUUGAAGAGCUCCCAGGAGACGAAGGAAACAAGUCGAACGGCCUUUCCUUCCUUUCUUAGUUCUUCUGCAGCUUUGGCAGCAAUUUCAAGUUCAGAACCGGUUCCAAUCAAGAUAACAUCAGGCUUGUUGCCUGAGGAAUUGUCUGAGAGAAUGUAUCCACCCUUUUCAACUCCCUCAAUGGAAGUUCCAGGAAGAUUUGGCAACUUUUGUCGAGAAAGGGCAAGAAUGGAAGGUCUCUUUCGGUUAAGUACUGCAACUUUAUAUGCCCCUGCGGUCUCAUUACCAUCAGCUGGUCGGAGCAUCAAUAUGUUUGGCAUAGCCCUAAAGCUUGCCAGAUGUUCAAUUGGCUGAUGGGUCGGCCCAUCUUCACCAAGACCGAUUGAAUCGUGAGUCAUGACAUAGAUUACACCAGCUUGACUUAAGGCAGAUAUCCUAAUGGCAGCUCUCAUGUAGUCGGUGAAAACAAAGAACGUAGCACAAUAAGGAAUGAGUCCAGGACUGUGAAGGGCAAUUCCAUUGCAGAUGGCUCCCAUCCCGUGCUCUCUAACACCAAAUCGGAGAUUACGCUCUUCAGGAGUAUCCUUUUGGAAGUUUCCAAAUGAUUUAAGCAGGGUCAUGUUUGAUGAAGCAAGGUCCGCACUUCCACCAAGGAAACCAGGAAGAACCUUUGCAAGGGCAUUAAGGUUUUGUUGGGAAAGAUUUCUUGUAGCAUCCGCUGGGCUCUCUGGGGUGUAUGUCUGCAAAUGCAAUGAAAAUGCUCAGUUAUUUGGCAAUAACAACUUACAAUGUAGUUUUUCAUGAAGAAAAAAGUGAAAUCUAAUCACAUGUUAUAAUGUGUCA